rnacentral:rRNA from 1 species
CCUACGGGAGGCAGCAGUGAGGAAUAUUGGUCAAUGGGCGUAAGCCUGAACCAGCCAAGUCGCGUGAGGGAUGAAGGUUCUAUGGAUCGUAAACCUCUUUUAUAAGGGAAUAAAGUGAGGGACGUGUCCCUUUUUGUAUGUACCUUAUGAAUAAGGAUCGGCUAACUCCGUGCCAGCAGCCGCGGUAAUACGGAGGAUCCGAGCGUUAUCCGGAUUUAUUGGGUUUAAAGGGUGCGUAGGCGGCCUUUUAAGUCAGCGGUGAAAGUCUGUGGCUCAACCAUGGAAUUGCCGUUGAUACUGGGAGGCUUGAGUAUAGUUGAGGCAGGCGGAAUGCGUGGUGUAGCGGUGAAAUGCUUAGAUAUCACGAAGAACCCCGAUUGCGAAGGCAGCCUGCCAAGCCAUGACUGACGCUGAUGCACGAAAGCGUGGGGAUCAAACAGGAUUAGAUACCCUUGUAGUC